rnacentral:rRNA from 1 species
CUAAGAUCAAUGCCAUUAAAACUUGGCCAGAACCAACCAACUUGCAAGUGUAGUUUCCAUGGCUUAGCCGGUUUCUAUCGUAGAUUCGCUAAGGAGUUUAGCACCAUUGCAUCCCCUUUACACGCCUUGAGUAAGAAGAAUGCACCAUUUAUUUGGGGAUCAUCUCAAGAUACCGCAUUUAACAAACUAAAAAAUUUGCUUACUCAUGCUCCUGUGCUUGCAUUGCCCAAUUUUGAUAAAACUUUUGAAGUUCAUUGUGAUGCUAGCGGUAAUGGCAUAGGAGGUGUGUUAACGCAAGAGAAGCGCCCCAUUGCUUACUUUAGUGAAAAGCAUUCUGGGGCGCAACUCAAUUAUCCC